rnacentral:rRNA from 1 species
AUGUUUUGGAGGAGGGGUGUGGAUAUUGCGCUGAGAUCUUAUGGGAGGAGGCAUAUAGAUGUGGACGUGACGGAGGAAAAUGGGAGGGUAUGGAGGUUAACUAGAAUCUAUGGCGAAUCGACUUCUGAACUGAAGAAGGAAACAUGGAGAACUCUAAGGAUUCUUGGACAACAACACCAAUUUGGGCACCCAUGGCUCUGCCUGGGUGAUUUCAACGAGAUUCUAUCAAGCGAUGAGAAAAUGGGAGGAGGAGUUCGGCCACAAAGGUGUAUGGAUGUGUUUCGGGAAGCACUGGAGAGGUGUGAGCUGAGUGAUAUUGGCUUUGAGGGAGACAUAUUCACUUGGAGAAAUCAAAACAUUUGUGAACGUCUUGAUAGAGAAACCACAAAUGCCAAGUGGUGUGAGACGUUUCCGGAUUUCUCUGUGCAAAAUGGGAACCCUCGACAGUCCGAUCAUAGACCAGUCAUUGUGUGCACCCAAGGGGAAAACUGA